rnacentral:rRNA from 1 species
AGAGUUUGAUCCUGGCUCAGGAUGAACGCUGGCGGCGUGCUUAACACAUGCAAGUCGAACGAAGCACCUUGAUUUGAUUCUUCGGAUGAAGAUCUUGGUGACUGAGUGGCGGACGGGUGAGUAACGCGUGGGUAACCUGCCUCAUACAGGGGGAUAACAGUUAGAAAUGACUGCUAAUACCGCAUAAGACCACAGCACCGCAUGGUGCAGGGGUAAAAACUCCGGUGGUAUGAGAUGGACCCGCGUCUGAUUAGGUAGUUGGUGGGGUAACGGCCUACCAAGCCGACGAUCAGUAGCCGACCUGAGAGGGUGACCGGCCACAUUGGGACUGAGACACGGCCCAAACUCCUACGGGAGGCAGCAGUGGGGAAUAUUGCACAAUGGGGGAAACCCUGAUGCAGCGACGCCGCGUGAGCGAUGAAGUAUUUCGGUAUGUAAAGCUCUAUAAGCAGGGAAGAAAAUGACGGUACCUGACUAAGAAGCACCGGCUAAAUACGUGCCAGCAGCCGCGGUAAUACGUAUGGUGCAAGCGUUAUCCGGAUUUACUGGGUGUAAAGGGAGCGUAGACGGAGUGGCAAGUCUGAUGUGAAAACCCGGGGCUCAACCCCGGGACUGCAUUGGAAACUGUCAAUCUAGAGUACCGGAGAGGUAAGCGGAAUUCCUAGUGUAGCGGUGAAAUGCGUAGAUAUUAGGAGGAACACCAGUGGCGAAGGCGGCUUACUGGACGGUAACUGACGUUGAGGCUCGAAAGCGUGGGGAGCAAACAGGAUUAGAUACCCUGGUAGUCCACGCCGUAAACGAUGACUACUAGGUGUCGGGCAGCAAAGCUGUUCGGUGCCGCAGCAAACGCAAUAAGUAGCCCACCUGGGGAGUACGAUCGCAAGGUUGAAACUCAAAGGAAUUGACGGGGGCCCGCACAAGCGGUGGAUUAUGUGGUUUAAUUCGAAGCAACGCGAAGAACCUUACCAGGUCUUGACAUCCUGCUAACGAAGUAGAGAUACAUUAGGUGCCCUUCGGGGAAAGCAGAGACAGGUGGUGCAUGGUUGUCGUCAGCUCGUGUCGUGAGAUGUUGGGUUAAGUCCCGCAACGAGCGCAACCCCUAUUGUUAGUUGCUACGCAAGAGCACUCUAGCGAGACUGCCGUUGACAAAACGGAGGAAGGUGGGGACGACGUCAAAUCAUCAUGCCCCUUAUGACCUGGGCUACACACGUAAUACAAUGGCGGUCAACAAAGGGAUGCAAAGCCGCGAGGCAGAGCGAACCCCAAAAAGCCGUCCCAGUUCGGAUCGCAGGCUGCAACCCGCCUGCGUGAAGUCGGAAUCGCUAGUAAUCGUGGGUCAGCAUACCACGGUGAAUACGUUCCCGGGCCUUGUACACACCGCCCGUCACACCAUGAGAGUCGGGAACACCCGAAGUCCGUAGCCUAACCGUAAGGAGGGCGCGGCCGAAGGUGGGUUCGAUAAUUGGGGUGAAGUCGUAACAAGGUA